GCCAGGAACAGUGGUGCAUGCCUGUCAUCCCAGCGGCUCGGGAGGCUGAGGCAGGAGGAUCACGAGUUCAAAGCAAGCCUCAGACACUCAGUGAGGCCCUCAGCAACUCAGUGAGACCCUGUCUCUA
rnacentral:sRNA from 1 species